UAGACACAGCCAACUGAGUUUCUCUCCGGAUCUACUCAGUGGGUCGCGUUUCCGAUUCGGUGGUAGAUUCUGCGAAGCACUGCUCUUACUAGGGUCAGUGUUGGCAACACUCCCGGUUUGAGUCCCAAACUCACCUACUAGUUCGAUGAAUCCAAAAUAAUCCUUAGAAGUUACUAGAAUAGGUAGAGGAAUAAAAAAGUCCAUUCAAGUCUUUUACGAUGCCCCCUACUCACAAUACCCAAUAUAAUUGCAGCAACAUAUGUACAUUUAUAAAAAUAAAAUUCUCUUAAUAAAAUAAUUAUUUUUACAUAUACUUUCGCUGAAUAUGAUUGAACUUGCCCUUGCCGUCCGAAAUUAAACAAUAAAAUCGAGUUCGGUAAGUGGACCCGUGCUGCUUCCGCGUGUGACUGAAUCCGAAGGUGAAUGGCCCGCGGCUGGAUGCAGGGCAAUGCCAAGAAUCUUGAACCCGGACCUCAUGCUGUGCAGGGUCUCACUAACAGCUCGAUCAGUGAACAGAUCACAUCAUCACUACUUUACAUAUCAAAAUGUGUAUACAUAAAAUAGUUUUUUUUUAAAUUCAACAUUACGAGAAUACAUUCUACUUUCUUACACACUUUUAUUAGCUUAGUACAUAAUACCUAUAUGUUUGUUGCUGUGUAACGAAAUCUAUGAAAUAAUUUUCACCGCCCUUAAACUUUAUUUCCAGCUCGAUUAACUUGAAAAUUUUCACACACAUCAAAGACCGAUGACAGUACAGUAAAAUUUUAGAGCUUUGCUCCAGUAUACUGAAUAUCAACUUGAAGAUCAAUUUGAAGAUUUAAAAAAAAAUUGAAAGGAAUUGUUAGUUCGAUUUACUAUUUAAACGUAAAUAUAUAUUUUUUAACUACGUACAUUAUUAAAAAUAUAAAAUAAUCCCUUAUCAUCAAUUUAAACAGUUUUAGAAAUAUGUUUAGAUUUAAUUCCAAUAAUUUUAUAUUUCCGAUCGAGUUAUCAUUUUGAUUAGCAGCUUAGUCAUAUCGCUAGCUUAUACAAUCGCCAUGAAUCAUGGUUUUCUACAGGAUAUACCGUAUUAUUACUCGUGCUUUAUCUUAUAUGUAUACUUACUUCUUCUGUACGUAACUUUGUCAAUAAACUCCUGACCCGCUGA